rnacentral:lncRNA from 1 species
CCCACGCCCAUUGGCGCGCCUCCUGGCCAGACUCGUCCCUUGCAGUCGGGCGCGCGCGAGCGUCCUGGGAGAGCGAGUUGCCUGUGGCUGGGAGCGCGAGGCUUCAGCCUGCGGCGAGGAGCAACUGGCCUCCCACCGCUCGCGAGUCGGGGCGCCCUCGGAGCGACCCGUGCUCUCCGGGUGUGGACUCUCAGCCUCGCAGGCUCUUACCUUUCUGGCCUCCUGAGGGUCGCCAUAGCCCGGCGAAGCCCGGGGGAUUCACUUGACGCAAAAGUCCUAAGCGCAGUCCGCGCCGGUCUGGGGGACCUGUGAUGCUCGUGUAGGCUCUCGCCUGCCCGGAACGUCUACACUCCGUGUUCAGGCCUUGUCUGUCCUCCAGGAAGCCUCACCUGCUGCUGGCUACAGUACACCUGUAUUGGGCCCUAUUCUGAGAUGUCCCGGCUCCAGGAGGCGUUAAUGAGACAGGUGCUGGUGGCAGGAUUUCCCGAGCCGAGCGGGCUUUCACGUUGUGUCACCAGAGUCUCGAUCUGGGUUGAUUGGGACUUUGAGCUUCUCCCUGGAAGAGAUAAGGAGACCUAUAUGUUGACCCAUGUGCCCACCCCCAUGGACUUCCAAGACUUCCAGGAUGGAUGCGAUUUCUUUUCUGGUGAUUUAAACUCUUCCUACUCCAGUGUCUUCAGGCCUGGCCUGCAACCAAGCAAGGAGGGCCAACGGUCCCUCUGCGUCUGUACGGGGCAGGAGGAAGGAAGAGCGGAAGCUACAUGUCACCCAAGAAGAGUCUUCAACAUCAUCCCAACUCUCAGAGUCUCAGCAGCAGAGGGGUUAAAAGCUUUCAGACACUUGGCUGUAUACAUAAGUACCAGCUUAAAGUCUCGAAUGAUAAGGUGCAUGAUAAACCCCCAAGGGUGAAAGUGGGUGAUGCCUCUGAGUGCAGAAAACAUGGCAGUGACCAGUGUUCACUAUUUCCACUGCCUAAUUUGAGGCUGGGCUAGACAAGAAGUUGAUGAAUGAGUAAGCCAGCACUCAAUGCAAUAACAGGACUGUUUUUCCUAUUCCACACCACAGCAGAUUGCAGGUUCCUAUCUUCAUCCUCUGAUUUUAUUCCUACUUGGGACAUACUGCUCCUUAAACAGUAUUAACAAUACAAUAACAAUCUCAUGCAAAUUGGAUUACCUGUGACCAGCUAUUACUUCUCACCACUAGAUGGCAUCUAUCAAUAGGGAGGGGUCAAGAGCUCCACACAUAAUCUGCCAAGUAAUAAUUCUUGAGAAAUCAAUACAAGAAAACAUUUAUAUCCACUUAUAUAUGUAUGGAUUCACUUCUUACGUGUGAUUUCUUUUUAAUAAUGGCUAUGAAUCUACAGCCUACAGCCGCCUGUCAUUUGGAAAAUCAUGAAGGUCUCCAGUAACAUUUUAAAGUUGUUAAUUAAAUACAAAGCAGUUUUGGGGCCAAGUAGAAGUGCGUGCUGUGCAAGCCUGAUGACCUGAGUUAGAUCCCUGGUACCUACAGUGCAGGAGAGAGCAUUUGUCCUCUGACCUCUACACAACUGCCUACACACACACACACACACACACACACACACACACACACACAGAGAGACACAAACAGACACAGAGAGAGACAGAGACAGAGACAGAGUGCUAUUACUACUGCUGCUGCUAAUAAUACUUAAUAAAAUUUAAUUUAAAAUAAAUACA